GACGAACGCUGGCGGCGUGCUUAACACAUGCAAGUCGAGCGGAAAGGACUUUCGGGGUACUCGAGCGGCGAACGGGUGAGUAACACGUGAGUAACCUGCCCCAGUGUUUGGGAUUACCUUCGGAAACGGGGGCUCAUACCGAAUAUUCCUGGUUCACCGCAUGGUGGGGUGGGCAAAGAGUUUUUGGUUUGGGAUGGGCGCGCGGCCUAUCAGCGUGUUGGUGGGGUGAUGGCCGACCAAGGCUUUGACGGGUAGCCGGCCCGGGAGGGUGACCGGGCACACUGAGACUGAGACACGGCCCAGACGCCUACGGGAGGCAGCAGUGGGGAAUAUUGCACAAUGGACGGAAGUCUGAUGCAGCGACGCCGCGUGAGGGAUGACGGCCUUCGGGUUGUAAACCUCUUUCGACAGGGACGAAGCGUGAGUGACGGUACCUGUAGAAGAAGCGCCGGCCAACUACGUGCCAGCAGCCGCAGUAAGAC
rnacentral:rRNA from 1 species